rnacentral:rRNA from 1 species
UACGGAGGGAGCUAGCGUUGUUCGGAAUUACUGGGCGUAAAGCGCACGUAGGCGGCUUUGUAAGUUAGAGGUGAAAGCCCGGGGCUCAACCCCGGAAUUGCCUUUAAGACUGCAUCGCUUGAAUCCGGGAGAGGUGAGUGGAAUUCCGAGUGUAGAGGUGAAAUUCGUAGAUAUUCGGAAGAACACCGGUGGCGAAGGCGGCUCUCUGGACCGAGACUGACGCUGAGGCGCGAAAGCGUGGGGAGCAAACAGG